GCACUCCCUUCGGAGGUACAUAUACAAAAAUUCGAACGAUACAUAGAAGAUUAGUAUGACCGUUGCGCAAGGAUGACAAGCAAAAAGCCGGCAUGGUAGCUCAGCAUGU